GGUAAUGUGGCUCAGUGGUAGAGUGCUUGCGUAGCAUGCAUGAAGCCCUGGGUUCGAUUCCUCAGUACCA
rnacentral:tRNA from 1 species